rnacentral:lncRNA from 1 species
UUUUAAAAAUGAGGAAAGUUCUGUAGGUGCUGUAAAAGAUAUUUGGCUUUCUACCUUAUUUUUUUUCACAUUGUGGUGGCAGUGCUUUGGACACCAAGUCUUUUUUUUAAAAAUUUUUUAAGGUAAAUAUGAGCUUUUAGGUGGAAAUUUGUAAAUAGGAGGCAUCCCCUUGGUGCUCUUGGUGCUCUUUAAUAGACUUAUCCAAAAAAAGGAAACAGGAGUCUAUAACCUUAAAGAAUGUAAUUGGAAACGUCAUUUCUCACUAUACUAGUAAUCACGAAGAAUAUGUAGCAUGUACAUGAGAGUCACU